rnacentral:rRNA from 1 species
UGGAGAGGGUAAGGCUCCCAGUAGACGACUGGGUUGAUAGGCCGGAUAUGGAAGCACGGUAACGUGUGGAGUUGACCGGUACUAAUAGGCCGAGGGCUUGUCCUC